CGCAGCUGACCUGUGUCUUUCCCUGGGCGCGGGAAAGUUGGUGAUGAAGAACCCGGAAAUACGCCAUCGUAGUCCCUUUUGUUCUUUGUUUCCCUCCUCCCUCCGUCCAGACACGUGCCACCUGGUUGUGAAGCAGCCUGAGGUGCCCCCAGGGGCAGGAGACCCUCUCUGGCCCCCAGGCUGCCUCUCUGAUGCUGGCCUCGGAGAGGACGUUCUCCCACCCGUCCCUGCCGCAGCCGUCACUUCAGACCUGGCCUUGAACCUCUGCCCAGGGUCCAGGUGCCUCAGACCCUUCGUUCGUGGGCCCUGUGCCAUUCCUGGCUGGUGUCGUUCCUCUGGGGAAGAAGGCAGCUCUGCUGAACCAGCUACAUCCCUUGGCCCGGCAGGAGGCAGGACGAGGGAGUGAGCUGCGCAAAGAACACGUCCACCUGGGCUUGCUCCUCCGAACACCUUCAACACUCUCAGCCUCCUCUCCCACUCCGUUCUCCUCUUCUGAGCUUUCCCGAAUCACCAGUGCGUGGAGGCGGCCUCUCGUUCCUGUCCACCUCCUCACAGGCCGACACCCUAAUCACAGACAACGGAAACGGCUCCUGGACUCAGUGGGACUCUGACUGACACCCCUGAGAAGGCAGAGGAGGAUCGACAAUGUAACAUAGACCCUCUUUCUAUAUCCCCUUUGGCAAAUACACACGUCACGUGGUUGCUGUUGUCUGUCUUAAUUUGGAUGGUGUAAGUACUUGCCACUUCACUCAUCUCUCCCUCACCUCCUCUUGAGAGAAGGGCAGAGAAAUGUCGACACCACAGCAAACCACAAUGAGUACCCAAGCGCCUGCAGGACCACGGGGAAUUCGGGGCACCGCUCUGCCAAGAAUCCUUCCUACUCCCUAUUUUCUCAACCAAAAUGCUGUCUAAUAUACUUUCCUCACUUCCCUGUACCCACAUGAAAAGUGCUCGGAAACUGACAUUGGGUCAAGCAUACAGAAAUAGUCAGUAUUUAGUUUUACCUCGGAA